rnacentral:lncRNA from 1 species
CGGGUGGCACCAAAUGUCCCCAAAAUGUCCCCAAAUGUCACCAAAAUGUCCCCAAAUGUCCCCUCAGUGUCCCCAGAUGUCCACAAAUGUCCUCAAGUGUCCCUAAAUGUCACCUCAGUAUCACCAAAUAUCCCCAAAAUGUCCCCUCAGUGUCCCAAGUGUCCCCAAGUAUCCCCGAAAUGUCCCCUCAGUGUCGUCAGAUGUCCCAAAAUGUCCUCAAAUGUCCCCAAAUGUCCCCUCAGUGUCCCCAAAUGUCCCCUCAGUGUCCCCAAAUGUCCCCUAAAUGUCACCAAAUAUCCCCAAAUGUCCCCUCAGUGUCCCCAAAUGUCUCCAGAUGCCACCUCAGUGUCCCCUCAGUGCCCACAAAUGUCCCCUCAACGUCCCCAAGUGUCCCCAAGUGUCACCAGAUGUUCCCAAAUGUCCUCAAAUGUCCCCUCAGUGCCCCCAAAUGUCCCCUCAGUGUCCCCAAAUGUCCUCAAAUGUCCCCUCAGUGCCCCCAAAUGUGCCUGAAAUGUCCCCAAAUGUCCCCUCAGUGUCCCCAAAUGUCUCUGAAAUGUCCCCAAAUGUCCCCUCAGUGUCACCAAAUGUCCCCAAAUGCCACCUCAGUGUCACCAAGUGUCCCCAAAUGUCCCCUCAGUGUCCCCUCCGUGUCCCCAAAUGUCCCCUCAGAGUCCCCAAAUGUCUUCAAAUGUCCCCUAAAUGUGCCUGAAAUGUCCCCAAAUGUCCUCAAAUGUCCCCUAAAUGUGCCUGAAAUGUCCCCAAAUGCCAACUCAGUGUCACCAAAUGUCCCCAAAAUGUCCCUAAAUGUCUCCUCAGUGUCCCCAAAUGUCUCUGAAAUGUCCCCAAAUGUCCCCUCAGUGUCACCAAAUGUCCUUCAAAUAUUCCCAAAUGUCCCCAAAUGUCCCCUCAGUGUCACCAAAUGUCCUUCAAAUAUUCCCAAAUGUCCCCUCAGUGUCCCCAAAUGUCCUUCAAAUAUUCCCAAAUGUCCCCAAAAUGACCCCAAAUGUCCCCUAAAUGCCACCUCAGUGUCCCCAAAUGUCCCCUCAGUGUCCCCUCCGUGUCCCCAAAUGUCCUCAAAUGUCCCCAAAAUGUCCCCAAAUGUCCCCUCAGUGCCCCCAAAUGUGCCUGAAAUGUCCCCAAAUGUCCCCUCAGUGUCUCCAAAUGUCCCCAAAUGUCCUCAAAUGUCCCUAAAUGUCCCC